rnacentral:rRNA from 1 species
UACGUAGGGUGCGAGCGUUGUCCGGAAUUACUGGGCGUAAAGAGCUCGUAGGUGGUUUGUCGCGUUGUUCGUGAAAACUCACAACUCAACUGUGGGCUUGCGGUCGAUACGGGCAUCACUGGAGUUCGGCAGGGGAGACUGGAAUUCCUGGUGUAGCGGUGAAAUGCGCAGAUAUCAGGAGGAACACCGGUGGCGAAGGCGGGUCUCUGGGCCGAUACUGACGCUGAGGAGCGAAAGCGUGGGGAGCGAACAGG